GACGAACGCUGGCGACGUGCCUAAUACAUGCAAGUCGAACGCAGUGGGGACGGGUGAGUAACACGUGGGUAACCUCCCAUCAGAGGGGAUAACACUUGGAAACAGGUGCUAAACCGAUACUGAUGGAUGGACCCGCGGUGCAUUAGCUAGUUGGUGAGGUAACGGCUCACCAAGGCCACGAUCCAUAGCCGACCGGAGAGGGUGAUGGACCACCAGGGUACGGAGACACGGCCCAGAUCCCUACGGGAGGCAGAAGGAGGGAAUCUACGGAAAUGGAGGAAAGUCUGACCGAGCAACGCCGGGGGAGUGAAGAGGGUUUUAGGAGCGUAAAACUCGUUUUUUGGAGAAACGGUAUCUAACCAGAAAGCGACGGCUAACUACGUGCCAGCAGCCGCGGUAAUAC
rnacentral:rRNA from 1 species